AUCUUCGAGCAGUGGUGGUGUUGGAGCCAAUGAGGUUUUAUCCGAGGCGUGGUUAUUCCUAACUGGAAACUUUUGCCAGUAAAAUAGUCUGGUUAUAAAUUCAUAGGUAGAAUUGGCAAGAUUAAGUUAAAAAGUUCCAGUAAUUGA
ensembl:snRNA U4 U4 spliceosomal RNA